GAAUGUAGCUCAGUGGUAGAGCACCUGGUUAGCAUGUGCCAGGCCCUGGGUUCAAUGCCCAGCACCA
rnacentral:tRNA from 1 species